UCUCCGUUGGUGAACCAGCGGAGGGAUCAUUAUCGAGUGAAAACUCCCAAACCCCUGUGAACAUACCACUGUUGCUUCGGCGGACCACCCUCGCCUCGCCGCGGGGGCCCGCCAGAGGACCCAAAAAUUCAAAUGUAUCUUGUUUUCCGAACGCAUUCUGAGUGGGAUUUUUAAAUCAAAUCAAAACUUUCAACAACGGAUCUCUUGGCUCUG
rnacentral:misc_RNA from 1 species